UGGGGGAUAUUGCACAAUGGGCGAAAGCCUGAUGCAGCGACGCCGCGUGGGGGAUGAAGGCUUUCGGGUUGUAAACCUCUUUCGCUAUCGAACAAGGCCCGCUUAGGGUGGGGUGCGGGUAGGUGGAGAAGAAGCGCCGGCUAACUACGUGCCAGCAGCCGCGGUAAUACGUAUGGCGCGAGCGUUGUCCGGAAUUAUUGGGCGUAAAGGGCUUGUAGGCGGCUUGUUGCGCCUGCUGUGAAAACGCGGGGCUUAACUUCGCGCGUGCAGUGGGUACGGGCAGGCUGGAGUGUGGUAGGGGUGACUGGAAUUCCAGGUGUAGCGGUGGAAUGCGCAGAUAUCUGGAGGAACACCGAUGGCGAAGGCAGGUCACUGGGCCAUUACUGACGCUGAGGAGCGAAAGCAUGGGUAGCGAACAGG
rnacentral:rRNA from 1 species